rnacentral:lncRNA from 1 species
CAAGUUUAAAACCAUAGCAGAAGUGCUCACUUUGUGGACCUGUCAGAUUCCAACAAAUCUGCAAAUUCUGCU